NNNNNNNNNNNNNNNNNNNNNNNNNNNNNNNNNNNNCCAAGCCGCGUCCCGUGUCCCCAAGCCGCRUCCCAUGUCCUCACCACCAACCCCAUGUCCUCAGUGCUGAUCCCAAGCUGUGUCCCAUGUCACCAAGCCAUGUCCCCACCACCACCCCUGUGUCCCCAAUGAUGUCCCCAAGCCACGUCCCAUGUCCCCACCACCAACCCCACGUCCUCAGUGCUGAUCCCAAGCUGUGUCCCAUGUCACCAAGCCGCGUCCCAUGUCCCCACCACCAACCCCAUGUCCCUGGCACUCUCCCCAAGCCAUGUCCCGUGUCCCCACCGCCAACCCUGUGUCCCCAAUGCUGUCCCCAAGCUGCGUCCCGUGUCCCCAAUCGGUGUCCCAUGUCCCUACCAGCAGCCCCACAUCCCCAGCGCUGUCCCCAAACCAUGUCCCGUGUCCCCACCAAAACCUCACAUCCCCAGCGCUGUCCCCAAGUCGUGUCCCAUGUCUACAAUGGUGUCCUCAAGCUGUCCUUGUGUCCCCAGUGAUGUCCCCAAGCCAUGUCCCAUGUCCCCAAGCCAUGUCCCAUGUCCCCACUGCCGACCCCACUUUCUCAACACUGUCCCCAAGCCGUGUCCCAUGUCCCCACCACUGACCCCCUGUUCUCAGCGCUGUUCCCAAGCCGUGUCCCGUGUCCCCACCACCCACCCCACGUCCCCAGCAAUGUCCCCAAGCCGGGGCCCGGGGCCGGCGGGAGCCCUGCCCCGGGGGGGGGUUCGGCUGCACCCUGCCGGAGCUGCGGGCGCUCAUGGAGCUGCGCGGCGCCGAGGCCCUGCUCAAGGUCCAGGAGGCCUACGGGGACGUCCACGGGCUCUGCCGCCGCCUCAAGACCUCCCCCACCGAAGGUACGGGCCGGGGGGCCCCGGCGUCCGGGUGGGGACCCCCCCCAGGGACCUCUGUGUCCCCCCAGGGACCCAAGUAUCCAGGCGGGGACACCGCCAGGGACCUCCACGUCCCCCCAGAGACCCAGGUGUCCAGGUGGGGACCCCCUCAGGGACCUCCACGUCCCCCCAGAGACCCAGGUGUCC
rnacentral:lncRNA from 1 species